AUUCCGUCGUGGAGGUGUUAAGACCGCGGUCCCUACCAACCAGAUGCGAUGUAUUGCAUGCCAAAGUCAUCUAAACAUGUGGUAGUGUAGUCAUGCUGGACACUGACUUUGAAAUGGAUGAUCGAUCCCACCUCGGCAUGGGCAACAGGACCGGCUCCCCCGACCGUUACUUCACCUGCAAGUUCUGCCAGCGGCUGUUCAGGAAAGCCUACAACCUGAUGAUUCACGAGAGGUCUCAUGACACAGCCAAAUACAGUGCUGACAUCUACAAGCUUCGGAAUGAGCUUCAGUCCUGCAACAGAAGAGAUCUCAGGUUACUCUUGGCCAGGGCAGUCCAGGAGGAAAACUUUCAGGCCCUCAAGGCCUGAUGACUGGCCAGAUGCCAGCGCAGACUGGCAGCUUCGAGUCGCCUGGCAAGACAAGCCUGCAUCCCAGCCCCUGUCUUCCGGCGGCUCCUGGCGAUCAGCUCAGCAACCCCAGACCGGCGGCUCUCAGCGACAGGUUCAGCGACCCCAGACCCAAAUCUUACAGCGACCGGCAACCCCAGACUGGUGGCUCCCAACGACGAACAACCCUAGACUGGUGGCUCCAGCGCCCAGCUCAGCAACCCUAGACUAGUGGCUCCUGGUGACCAGCAACCCUAGGCUAAUGACUUCCGGUGACAUGUUCAGCCGCCCGACCAGCGACUCCGGAGCGGCAGCUGCCGACAGCUGCGCCAGCUCCCGAGGCCGGCAGCUGCUGACUUCAGGGCCGUCCGUCGCGGCCGGGAGGCGCCUGGUGCAACCUGCGCGGCACCGACUCCACCGUUUUGGGCCCGUUCUCUGCCGUACCCGCUCCCACGCGUAGAUGCAUCUGGUGUAGGCCAGGGCGGGGAUCAGACUGUGAUUUUGUGCUAGUUUGUAAUUUAUGCCCGCACGGUUCGCAAAUGUUUUUUUCAGAUGAAUGCUGCACCGUUUUGUGUUAGAAAUAGGCUAACUGAAGUCAGUUUUGAACGGAACUCUACCACCCUGUGAAGGCUCAACGUCCGUUCAUCUGGCUACUUCUGCUGAAGUGUUACAGUGGAAAAAUCUCCCUUAUGGACUCGUGGUGUCAUAUUUAUUCACUUUUCUUCCUUUGAGCUCGGGGAAUUGCCAUGACUAUUGAAAGCAGUUUUACUCAUUCAUGCCUGGCCAAUGUAAAUCCUCGCCAGGCGCUUUUGAUUUCACCUGUGCUUUGUAUGCGGUAUGUGUUGGCCAUAGGUAACGAGUUGUUGCGCAUGCCCCGUUUUUUGCAGUAGGAGAUGAAUAACAUUGAAUGUUAUCAUAGUCAUGUAUAUAUUAUAUAUGAAAUACAGUCCACCCA
rnacentral:misc_RNA from 1 species